rnacentral:misc_RNA from 1 species
GAAAUGCGAUAAGUAGUGUGAAUUGCAGAAUUCAGUGAAUCAUCGAAUCUUUGAACGCACAUUGCGCCCUUUGGUAUUCCAAAGGGCAUGCCUGUUCGAGCGUCAUUUGUACCCUCAAGCUUUGCUUGGUGUUGGGCGUCUUGUCUCUAGCUUUGCUGGAGACUCGCCUUAAAGUAAUUGGCAGCCGGCCUACUGGUUUCGGAGCGCAGCACAAGUCGCACUCUCUAUCAGCAAAGGUCUAGCAUCCAUUAAGCCUUUUUUCAACUUUUUACCUCGGAUCAGGUAGGGAUACCCGCUGAACUUAAGC